rnacentral:rRNA from 1 species
GACGGAGGAUGCAAGCGUUAUCCGGAAUUAUUGGGCGUAAAGCGUCCGCAGGUGGAUAUACAAGUCUGCUGUCAAAGUGCAGAGCUUAACUCUGUAAAGGCGGUGGAAACUGUAGGUCUUGAGUAUGGUAGGGGUAGAGGGAAUUCCCGGUGUAGCGGUGAAAUGCGUAGAGAUCAGGAAGAACAUCGGUGGCGAAGGCGCUCUGCUGGACCAUAACUGACACUCAAGGACGAAAGCUAGGGGAGCGAAUGGG